rnacentral:precursor_RNA from 8 species
UCCCUAAAGUAUUAGAGCGAUGUCUCGGGAUGAGGUAGUAGGUUGUAUAGUUUAGAGUUACAACACGGGAGAUAACUGUACAGCCUCCUAGCUUUCCUCGAGCAGACGCCCUCCUCUGUAAAAGCUG